CUGAGUACGGCGGAACACGUGAAAUUCCGUCGGAAUCCGGGAGGACCAUCUCCCAAGGCUAAAUACUCCCUAGUGACCGAUAGUGAACCAGUACCGUGAGGGAAAGGUGAAAAGCACCCCGGAAGGGGAGUGAAACAGUUCCUGAAACCGUGUGCCUACAAGUAGUUAGAGCCCGUUAAUGGGUGAUAGCGUGCCUUUUGUAGAAUGAACCGGCGAGUUACGAUUUGUUGCAAGGUUAAGCGGAAAAAGCGGAGCCGUAGCGAAAGCGAGUCUGAAUAGGGCGCAUAAGUAACAGGUCGUAGACCCGAAACCAGGUGAUCUACCCAUGUCCAGGAUGAAGGUAAGGUAAUACUUACUGGAGGUCCGAACCCACGCACGUUGAAAAGUGCGGGGAUGAGGUGUGGGUAGCGGAGAAAUUCCAAUCGAACUUGGAGAUAGCUGGUUCUCUCCGAAAUAGCUUUAGGGCUAGCCUCGAGGUAAAGAGUCAUGGAGGUAGAGCACUGUUUGGACUAGGGGCCCUUCUCGGGUUACCGAAUUCAGAUAAACUCCGAAUGCCAUGUACUUAUACUCGGGAGUCAGACUGCGAGUGAUAAGAUCCGUAGUCGAAAGGGAAACAGCCCAGACCACCAGUUAAGGUCCCCAAAUAUAUGUUAAGUGGAAAAGGAUGUGGGGUUGCUUAGACAACCAGGAUGUUGGCUUAGAAGCAGCCACCAUUGAAAGAGUGCGUAAUAGCUCACUGGUCGAGUGACCCCGCGCCGAAAAUGUACCGGGGCUAAACAUAUUACCGAAACUGUGGAUGAACCUCUUUAGAGGUUCGUGGUAGGAGAGCGUUCUAAGGGCGGUGAAGUCAGACCGGAAGGACUGGUGGAGCGCUUAGAAGUGAGAAUGCCGGUAUGAGUAGCGAAAGAAGGGUGAGAAUCCCUUCCACCGAAUAUCUAAGGUUUCCUGAGGAAGGCUCGUCCGCUCAGGGUUAGUCGGGACCUAAGCCGAGGCCGAUAGGCGUAGGCGAUGGACAACAGGUAGAGAUUCCUGUACCAGUGCUAAUUGUUUAACCGAUGGGGUGACACAGAAGGAUAGGGAAUCGCACGAAUGGAAAUGUGCGUCCAAGCAGUGAGUGUGAGAAGUAGGCAAAUCCGCUUCUCGCGAAGCAUGAGCUGUGAUGGGGAAGGAAAUUAAGUACGGAAGUUCCUGAUUUCACGCUGUCAAGAAAAGCCUCUAGGAAGAGUAGUACUGCCCGUACCGCAAACCGACACAGGUAGAUGAGGAGAGAAUCCUAAGGUGAGCGAGAGAACUCUCGUUAAGGAACUCGGCAAAAUGACCCCGUAACUUCGGGAGAAGGGGUGCUCUAUUAGGGUGCAAGCCCGAGAGAGCCGCAGUGAAUAGGCCCAGGCGACUGUUUAGCAAAAACACAGGUCUCUGCAAAACCGUAAGGUGACGUAUAGGGGCUGACGCCUGCCCGGUGCUGGAAGGUUAAGAGGAGUGCUUAGCUUCGGCGAAGGUACGAAUUGAAGCCCCAGUAAACGGCGGCCGUAACUAUAACGGUCCUAAGGUAGCGAAAUUCCUUGUCGGGUAAGUUCCGACCCGCACGAAAGGCGCAACGAUCUGGGCACUGUCUCAACGAGAGACUCGGUGAAAUUAUAGUACCUGUGAAGAUGCAGGUUACCCGCGACAGGACGGAAAGACCCCGUGGAGCUUUACUGCAACCUGAUAUGGAAUGUUUGUACCGCUUGUACAGGAUAGGUAGGAGCCGAAGAGACGUGUGCGCUAGCAUACGAGGAGGCAAUGGUGGGAUACUACCCUGGCUGUAUGACCAUUCUAACCCGCCACGCUUAGCGCGUGGGGAGACAGUGUCAGGUGGGCAGUUUGACUGGGGCGGUCGCCUCCUAAAGAGUAACGGAGGCGCCCAAAGGUUCCCUCAGAAUGGAUGGAAAUCAUUCGCAGAGUGUAAAGGCACAAGGGAGCUUGACUGCGAGACUGACAAGUCGAGCAGGGACGAAAGUCGGGCUUAGUGAUCCGGUGGUUCCGCAUGGAAGGGCCAUCGCUCAACGGAUAAAAGCUACCCCGGGGAUAACAGGCUUAUCUCCCCCAAGAGUCCACAUCGACGGGGAGGUUUGGCACCUCGAUGUCGGCUCGUCGCAUCCUGGGGCUGUAGUCGGUCCCAAGGGUUGGGCUGUUCGCCCAUUAAAGCGGCACGCGAGCUGGGUUCAGAACGUCGUGAGACAGUUCGGUCCCUAUCCGUCGCGGGCGCAGGAAAUUUGAGAGGAGCUGUCCUUAGUACGAGAGGACCGGGAUGGACACACCGCUGGUGUA
rnacentral:rRNA from 1 species